AUGUCUUAUUUGCAGUCAGAAGUGUCCAAAGAGUACAAUGUGUUUGGUUAUUACCCUGUUAGACUGGCGGCAUGGCAAAAGCGAGGACUCCCAACCUGAUCACGUUUAGUGACCAAGAAUCAGACGAAGAAGAGAGCAACAAGAGAACAACGGGACGUUCGUCUGAAACGUCUUCUCGUGGUAAUAGGCCAAUGCGAUAUAGCACCAGAAACACACGUCACCAGCCCACCGUCGUGUUUAGUCACAAAACGUCAAACAAAGAUGGCAAGAAAACAAAGAGAACGAGACCAACAUCGAAGCGCAAAAAGAUCUCGCAAUCUACCACGGCUUCAUUUGUUCCUGCAGAUCCUUCCGACCUGGGCUUUUACAGUUCGGAUGAUGACAGUACU